rnacentral:rRNA from 1 species
GACGAACGCUGGCGGCGUGCUUAACACAUGCAAGUCGAACGAGGCCCCUCCUUCGGGAGGGUGUCCUAGUGGCGAACGGGUGAGUAACACGUGGGCAACCUGCCCCCGGCUCUGGGAUAACCCCAAGAAAUUGGGGCUAAUACCGGAUAUGACCGCUGACCGCAUGGUCGGUGGUGGAAAGUUUUUUCGGCUGGGGAUGGGCCCGCGGCCUAUCAGCUUGUUGGUGGGGUAGUGGCCUACCAAGGCGACGACGGGUAGCCGGCCUGAGAGGGUGACCGGCCACACUGGGACCGAGACACGGCCCAGACUCCUACGGGGGGCAGCAGUGGGGAAUAUUGCGCAAUGGGCGGAAGCCUGACGCAGCGACGCCGCGUGGGGGAUGACGGCCUUCGGGUUGUAAACCUCUUUCAGCAGGGACGAAGCGAAAGUGACGGUACCUGCAGAAGAAGCACCGGCCAACUACGUGCCAGCCGCCGCAGUAA